GCAUGCUUUACACAUGCAAGUCGAACGGUAACAGGUCUUCGGAUGCUGACGAGUGGCGAACGGGUGAGUAAUACAUCGGAACGUGCCUAGUAGUGGGGGAUAACUACUCGAAAGAGUAGCUAAUACCGCAUGAGAUCUACGGAUGAAAGCAGGGGACCUUCGGGCCUUGUGCUACUAGAGCGGCUGAUGGCAGAUUAGGUAGUUGGUGGGGUAAAGGCUUACCAAGCCUGCGAUCUGUAGCUGGUCUGAGAGGACGACCAGCCACACUGGGACUGAGACACGGCCCAGACUCCUACGGGAGGCAGCAGUGGGGAAUUUUGGACAAUGGGCGAAAGCCUGAUCCAGCAAUGCCGCGUGCAGGAUGAAGGCCCUCGGGUUGUAAACUGCUUUUGUACGGAACGAAAAGCCUGGGGCUAAUAUCCCCGGGUCAUGACGGUACCGUAAGAAUAAGCACCGGCUAACUACGUGCCAGCAGCCGCGGUAAUACGUAGGGUGCAAGCGUUAAUCGGAAUUACUGGGCGUAAAGCGUGCGCAGGCGGUUUUGUAAGACAGUGGUGAAAUCCCCGGGCUCAACCUGGGAACUGCCAUUGUGACUGCAAGGCUAGAGUGCGGCAGAGGGGGAUGGAAUUCCGCGUGUAGCAGUGAAAUGCGUAGAUAUGCGGAGGAACACCGAUGGCGAA
rnacentral:rRNA from 1 species